UCCUUUUUACAGUCCAAAUAUUAUUGCUCAUUCGGUAGCAAAGAUGUUGACACCACAUGUCGUCUGAUGAGUUUUACCGGAUCAAAUAAGGUUUUGUCAUUGUAUUCCCUGAAAGGAAUGAGAGGAGAAAAGAAACUGGAAGACCUGGCUAUCUGCAGGCCGAUGCUUGCUGCUGGUCAAUAUUGAAUGCUCUUAUGAAAACUCAUAAGACAAUAACAAAAAAAAGAAGCUGAGGAUGCUGUUUUUAAAACAUGUUCCAUUCAAAAAAGGUGGAUUGAAAUUUAAGAAAGGUGUGACGGGUGCGGCUACUGCAGGCAGGGAGGAUUUGACGGUCAGCCAGAGGAUUUGGAGAUAUACUGUAAUGUCUUUAAUGUGGACUUGCGUGUGAUUUAAGUUUUCACAAGGGUUUUAGUGUGUGUGAAAGUAUGUCAGUUUUCAAAAUUGAGCUAUGACAAUUUGCUCAAAUUACAUAACUCAAAGAACUUUGAAGCGGUCUUGUUGACGUCAUGAGCUUUUGUUUAAUACCAGUAUUGGUGAUAUAGGCCCAUGAUUAUAUACUGUAGAAAGUGAACAAGUUCACUGCUCGAUACAGAUAAUCAUAUGGCCUGAUCUCUGAAUGAUAUUUAUGAACCAAAAGAAGGCAUAAAAUAAAAACUAAAUUAUUGAUAUUGUUAAACUAGAUCUGGGCCUGUAUUCAUAAAGGAUCUUUAAUAGUAAAAAAAAUAUCUAUAACUUAAUACUCUUCAAUUAAGUCAAAAACUUUUCACGCUCUUUAAAUAUUUCACAGCAUGACUACAAACUUCUAUAUUAUACCAAAGAAAAAUAGAUUGGCAACUUGAAAGGCGUAUAGAGCAAAUCUCACCAACAUCACAUGGCAACUGAAUGAGAUCUCCUUUUAGUAAGCAUAUUUGGUCACAAUUGAUCGUCAGCAAAUGCUUUGAGAUAAGAAAACUUGAUCGUUCGUGUAUUAUGCUAAUGGUACUUUUUGAAUAAUGUUAUCAGUAUUUUCUACACAGGAAAGCAAUGAAUUUUUGAUUGGAAGUCUGAGAAAUCAACAGUUGUUGUAAAAUUGGCUCGAUUCGGUUUAUUACGCGCCAGUGUAACAUUAAAUACUGACCACGUUGAAAAGUGACCCCGUCAACAUUUCAACAUCAAAGUUUUAUCAAAGGGUCAUUUUUCAACGUUGAGAAUUGACCCCGUCAACAUUUCAACAUUAAAUUUUGAUCAAAAGAUCCUUUUUCAACGUUGAGAAAUGGCCCCGCCAACAUUUCAACAUUAAAUUUUGAUCAAUGGGGUCAAUAUUUAAUGUUACACCGGCUAUACCGACAGUUAAAUACUUCAGUAAGCUACGGAAUCCUGUUUCCGCCAUCGACUUUUCGACUAGACAGAAACGCGAAAACUUGAAAUUAAGCAUCUAAUUUAUACUUUUCGUGCUAUAAAUUUACCGCGAAAAGUCGAAAUCUUGAAGUUUUUGACCCGACAAUUGUCGUGCAAACGUCAACUUUUCGACCUAGAAUCAAGCGCGAAAAGUAGAAAUUAAGAGAGCUAAUUUCAACUUCUCGUGC